rnacentral:lncRNA from 1 species
UUCAGCCUGUCCUGAGAAUUGAACAGUCUCAUCUGCUUCUCUAAAAAAGUUUGAGAUUGGAAUACGUUACUGUGUAAGUUCAAUGAGUGUCUGAGGUGUACUUACACUGGAAUACAUUACUGUGUAAGUUCAAUGAGUGUCUGAGUUGUCAAAAGUCAGAACGUUGCAACUUUAAUAUAUUUUCACUGUAUGUUUUAGAAAUCUUGUAAAAUUCAAACAUUGGUGUAGACUUAUUUGAAAAAUUUUAGCAGAUGCUUGUCAUUAUAUAUAGAGAUUUACAAUGUGUAUACAUACAAAUUUACAAGUAAUUUAUGGAAAUACUGCCUUACACACUGUUUUUAUAAUAAUCUCUAAUACUUUCAUGCCAAAAUAAUCUCUACACUAUAUCACCAGAGGAAACAAAAUAAUUAACUGAUCUAGAAAAUUCCAUCACAAUAACACAUGAAUUCUAAUAAGCAUUUUAAAUGAUUUAAACAGUUACAUAUCACUUAUUAAAUGAUGCAGCAUGCAAUAAUGAUGAUUUUGUACAUGUGAUUUGCUAGUAAAAUGUGUAUGUACAAAAGUAAUAUCAUGUUUACAAAAUUUAUAAUACAAUUAUGCCAUUUUAGAGCAUUUUCAUUUAAUGCUGAUAUAGUUCUCUUGUACAUGUAGUCACUUUUUUUUUUACUGUUUCACGGCCUGUAAACGCUGGCUCUCUCUCUCUCUCUCUCUCUCUCUCUCUCUCUCUUUGGAGAUGAGUUGAAAAAAGAGCCAG